rnacentral:tRNA from 1 species
GUGCAUGUGGUGGAAAGGUAGACACGCCAGCUUGAGGUGCUGGUGCCCUUCGACAAGGCGUGCGAGUUCGAAUCUCGCCAUGCACACCA